ACAGGACAGGCAACUCCCCCAUCCCGCAGCAGACGGAGGAGGAAGAGGGCGGACGGGAGUGGGGCUGGAGACCCCGUGUUCCCCCAGCGACGGCUGCCCGGGUGACUGGUCGCCAUGGUAACCCGGUUGCAAAGAGAGAUGGAGGUAAACAUGGACAUGACCCGAGGCCGUUGCUUGAAUGGACGUAGAACACAGGGACGUUUAAACAAAUCUCUCGUGAGACAUUAACCCCGAGCACUUUGAUCUCAGUCUGACUCCUUUGGAACGUUCCACGGUUCUGGAAAACACUUUCACAAGACGCUGGCACCGAGUACAGGAAACUGAGCUAGAAAAGUGUAGCGUCUUUUCAUUGUGUCCCCAGUUCUUACCGACUGUAGCUGUCAAUCACCGCUUUACAAACCGUCCAAACCAACAGAACUCACCAGCGUCGUCGCAGCAGAUCUCCAUGGAGUCAGAGGAGCAGUCGCUGAGAUCAUCCAGCGAAGCGUCCGUGUCAUCAUGGACCGGUAACCUGAAAUAAAUGUAGGUAAAUCAGAGCAAUGCUGAGAUGAGACUCAGUCCACUGUGUUUGCGUGAGAGGGUGAAACGCUGCCCUCACCUGAA